rnacentral:rRNA from 1 species
UACGGAGGGUGCAAGCAUUAAUCGGAAUUAUUGGGCGUAAAGGGCGCGUAGGCGGAAAUAUAAGUCAGAUGUGAAAUCCCGGGGCUCAACCCCGGAACCGCAUUUGAAACUGCAUUUCUAGAGGAUAGGAGGAGAAAAUGGAAUUCCACAAGUAGCGGUAAAAUGCGUAGAUAUGUGGAAGAACACCAGUGGCGAAGGCGAUUUUCUAUCUUAUUCCUGACGCUGAGGCGCGAAAGCAAGGGGAUCAAACAGG